rnacentral:rRNA from 1 species
CCUACGGGCGGCAGCAGUGGGGAAUAUUGGACAAUGGGGGCAACCCUGAUCCAGCCAUGCCGCGUGUGUGAAGAAGGCCCUCGGGUUGUAAAGCACUUUCAGUGAGGAAGAACGCCUGGUGGUUAAUACCCAUCAGGAAAGACAUCACUCACAGAAGAAGCACCGGCUAACUCCGUGCCAGCAGCCGCGGUAAUACGGAGGGUGCGAGCGGUAAUCGGAAUUACUGGGCGUAAAGCGCGCGUAGGUGGCUUGAUAAGCCGGUUGUGAAAGCCCCGGGCUCAACCUGGGAACGGCAUCCGGAACUGUCAAGCUAGAGUGCAGGAGAGGAAGGUAGAAUUCCCGGUGUAGCGGUGAAAUGCGUAGAGAUCGGGAGGAAUACCAGUGGCGAAGGCGGCCUUCUGGACUGACACUGACACUGAGGUGCGAAAGCGUGGGUAGCAAACAGGAUUAGAUACCCGAGUAGUC